UAUAGAAAGAGACCUUCUAAAAACAUUAAAAUGUAUGACUGACACACGAAACCUUAAAUUAGAGUGAAUAAAGAAAGACUCAGCCCACCACUUCUAAAAGGCUGUCAAUCCCUGCCCAAGCACAUAAAG